rnacentral:tRNA from 1 species
GUUUUAAUAAUUUAAUGAAAAUAUUGGUCUUGUAAACCAAAGUUAAGGCUUCCUUUUAAAACU